CGCGUGUACUGGUCCGGCCGGGCCUUUCCCUCUGUGGAACCCCAUGCCCUUCACUGGGUGUGGCGGGGAAACAGGACUUUUACUGUGAAAAAAUUAGAGUGCUCCAGGCAGGCCUAUGCUCGAAUACAUUAGCAUGGAAUAAUAGAAUAGGACGUGUGGUUCUAUUUUGUUGGUUUCUAGGACCGCCGUAAUGAUUAAUAGGGACAGUCGGGGGCAUCAGUAUUCAAUUGUCAGAGGUGAAAUUCUUGGAUUUAUUGAAGACUAACUACUGCGAAAGCAUUUGCCAAGGAUGUUUUCACUAAUCAGGAACGAAAGUUAGGGGAUCGAAGACGAUCAGAUACCGUCGUAGUCUUAACCAUAAACUAUGCCGACUAGGGAUCGGACGGUGUUAUUUUUUGACCCGUUCGGCACCUUACGAGAAAUCAAAGUGCUUGGGCUCCAGGGGGAGUAUGGUCGCAAGGCUGAAACUUAAAGAAAUUGACGGAAGGGCACCACCAGGGGUGGAACCUGCGGCUUAAUUUGACUCAACACGGGGAAACUCACCAGGUCCAGACACAGUGAGGAUUGACAGAUUGAGAGCUCUUUCUUGAUUCUGUGGGUGGUGGUGCAUGGCCGUUCUUAGUUGGUGGAGUGAUUUGUCUGCUUAAUUGCGAUAACGAACGAGACCUUAACCUGCUAAAUAGCCCGUACUGCUCUGGCAGUUCGCCGGCUUCUUAGAGGGACUAUCGG
rnacentral:rRNA from 1 species